rnacentral:rRNA from 1 species
CCUACGGGUGGCAGCAGUGGGGAAUAUUGCGCAAUGGGCGAAAGCCUGACGCAGCGACGCCGCGUGAGGGAUGAAGGUCUUCGGAUCGUAAACCUCUGUCAGCAGGGAAGAUCGGCCCCUUUGCUACUCAGCCGUGAAUUGACGGUACCUGCAAAGGAACCACCGUCUAACUCCGUGCCAGCAGCCGCGGGAAUAUGGAGGGUGCGAGCGUUAACGGGAAUUACUGGGCGGAAAGCGCGCGUAGGCGGGAUGUCAAGUCAAGGGUGAAAUCCCCGCGCUCAACGUGGGAACUGCCUUUGAAACUGGCAAACUGGAGUGUGUGAGAGGAUAGUGGAAUUCCAGGUGUAGGAGUGAAAUCCGUAGAGAUCUAGAGGAACAUCAGUGGCGAAGGCGACUAGCUGGAACAUAACUGACGCUGAGGAGCGAAAGCGUGGGUAGCAAACAGGAUUAGAUACCCGAGUAGUC